AGGGGCAAGAGUACACAGAACAGACCUCAGCAAAUAAGUGCUAUCCUUUGCCACAACUUUACCAAGCCACCACACUUGUGGUACCAAGUACCAACACGUAAAACGGUCUCUUACAGGGCAGCACUGGUUGAAGCUGGGGUGGGGGGCUGGUAACUGCUGAACCCCAUAACAAAAGAGACAUCAUUAAUUAACAUAUUUUUUUUCUAUUCCUUGGAGGAAAAAAAAUGCUUUCUAAGUGCACUGAUACAAGUCUGGAUGUCUGUCUUGGUCUUAACCAACAAACUUGGGCAGAAACAGCGGAUGCUAUUGCCAAGCGAGAGCUUUGAAAGCGAUGGUCCACUAGUCUUUCCUUUUCCUGCCAAAGGACCCAGCCUGUUCCGGACAAGAGCCUCUUGUUCAGCAGAUUCUAAAACGAAGAAGCUGGAAUGCAAACACAACGCCGUUCCAGGACAGCUAUGUCAUACGAGCAGGAAAAACAUUUUCGCUGUUCAGUAAGCCUGAAAGAACUGGGCUCACUUCUCAGAGCUCAGCUCAGCCUGAACGACUAGUGUGUCCUUCUCGAGUGCCCUCUCGCCUCACUCGGCGCAUGUGCCACCAUGCAUGGGGCCUUCAAUCAGCGCGAACCAGAGGAGGUCAACCCCACCCCAUGCCCCUGUUUCCUUGGAUGGAGACAAGGCAUGGCUUAUAGAUGAUGCCGCCCCCACCUCGGAAGGCAACGGCGAAGAGGAGGUGGACGCAGAAUCUGGAUGAAGAAAGGUCUGUCAUGAAACACAGUGUUUGGAGUUGUAGUAAAUCACACACACCCAGACGAAGGAAGGAGACUUGCAAGGCGGAUUGCACGCAGCAGUAGUAAAAGCCUCUGGAAUUCUGCUUCUAAACAGAAGGCACCUCUUCCCUCCGGGAAGUCCCCUCACAUUCUCCUUCUGCAACUCCACCAGGUUUCUUUGGUGACUCAGUGAGCCUCUUUUGGGCCUUCAGGCUGACUUGAUGCCAUUUUUUCUUGCCCUCUGUGGGGAGUUCGUAGCGUCUGAACCCGUGAAAAGCAGAACAGUGUCACUUGUGAACCUGGAGCAGAAGAUUCUCUCCUCAUUAAGGAAUCUCUUCUGUCUACCUGGGGACUGGGAAGAUGGUAUCCCCUGUCAGAAAAGCAGUUUCUCUGGAAGAGAGAAAGCAAAAGAAGACUGCCUCCUGGAAGUUAGCAGUGAAUAGAACUGACACCUUUCUUCUCACUCACAACAGCUGGCUUCUGAGGAAUGGCCUCCGGGAACAACAGGGCCAGCUGGGACCGGAGGUACAAAGAGUUCUCUCUCUGAGUUUUCUGGAUCAGGGUCACACUGUGUGGAGCUUGGACCUCAAGCAUUCCUCCUCUGAAGGUGAGGGUCAGAUGAUAUGCUGCUCUCUGAGCUGUGACAGUGUGGUUUUCAAAGCUAGCUCUUGAAACUGCUUCAGUUCCACCCUGAAGCACCCACUCCAUGAUUCAGGCCUUUAGAAAUCAGGUGCUCAGUGAGAGGUGUAUGUCAGGGUGGCCUUGCCUACUGGAGGGCCUGCCUUCGCCCUCUCUGGAAGAAUGUCAUCUGCCAGCUGCAAACAAAUAAAUGUAUCAAAGAGAGAAAACAUGACUUAAA